GUCGCUAUUAGAAUACGACUCUUCCCAAGAAUUCGCUCGGCAUCUCAGAAGAAGUGUUCUAAGGGCCUGCUGGACAUUGGUUAGAAGUCAAAAUGCGUUUUAUUAUUGCUACUGCAGUCUUGGCACUAUGUGUUCUUGCUUUAACUACGGAUGCCAAACCUGCGAAAAAAACUGUAUCCAAGGGCAAGACAGCUGUAUUUGGAAACACAUCUUAUAAAGGACAGUUGCAACGCUCCCUUAGAAACCGUACUUAUAGAUUGUUGUUUGGUAAAAGCAGGCUAACAGACCCAUCAGCUAGACCAGCAACUGACAAUGGACCAGAACCUACACCGCUUGCCGAGUUCACAGCACAGGGCGAUAUGGCCUGUUCCAUAACAUAUGAUGCCGAGUGUGUUCCAAAUGCAUUGGCAAUUCUUCCCCUGAAUAUCCGUUCCAAAACAAUCUGUGGCCCUGGCUGGACAUGCUAUGAAUAAAUGACCAGAAGACCAAGAGAAGGUGAUCAAUAAUUUGGGAAUGAGAAAGACGAUGAUGACAGUCGGAUUGGAAGUGUAUGAUAUAACUGAAUAUAUCUAUAGUUCAUCUGACGUAUUUAUUGUCUAAUUGAGUCACUCAUUUGUAUUUACUUAAGACAAAUUAAAUUGAUUUGAAUGAACUUUUCAUAAGUUUCAGUAUUUUAUAAAUUAUUUUCAUAUUUAAAAUUGAAUUUGGUUUCUUUUUUUUUUCCGAUGUGGAAUCGACUCUUAGAUUUGAUUUAAUCCAGUUGUGUGGAGGGGGUGGUGGUCCCGGGCACCAACUACAACAGGGCAUCCAAUCAAAGCGUGAAGGGGGAUGGGGGGGGUGCCCGAAUGGUCAGUCAUUGAUUCAAGUGGCAUGGUUUCGACUCCCCUCUUGUACGUGACAAGGAGUAGGGUCACCUUUCCAACCUUGUGGGUUUUCUCCGAGUCCCCCGGCUUCCUCCCACUGCUAAACACCCCCACGGGCAAGUGAAUUAAUGAAAUGAAAUUGAACCAUAUGUUGGUCCCCAAAUUACCUAGUUUGUGUCAAGUGGGCAUUAAACCCCCAUCUCUCUCUCUCUCUUCUCUCUCAAAGAGUGAAAUUAAUUUUUUUAAUGUGAAAUCAUCACUGUUAACUUUGAUGUACAGGCUUGCAAUAAAACGUUUAUUUCAUGUUUUUA